GGGGCUGAUCGGUUUCGACGUUGGGACCGGGGGCUGCGCUGUGCGACCCGAGUUGCUCAGACUCGCAAAACGGGGCAACCAACUAAGCGGCAAAGACCGUGAACUUCUCGCAGCCUGAUCAUUCUGGCCUAGAGAAGCACCGCGACCGGUAACGGCACGCGGGGCCAGUCCAUCGCAGCCCGGCAACAGAAGCGGUGGAGACAGUAGGGACAGACCACUGACGGCGGGAAAGACCGCUGGCUCCGGGGAACAGACCCGGUGGCGGGCCCCCUAGCGGGGGCCACCCGACCCAGCGACGCAGCUGCCAUCGACGCUGCACACCGGGAAUGGUCGUAUCACAGUCUGAUCUCGCCCAGCGGACGGGGGUUCGAUUCCCCCCAGCUCCACUC
rnacentral:tmRNA from 1 species